CAGCCGCCGCGGUAAUACGGAGGGUGCAAGCGUUAAUCGGAACUACUGGGCGUAAAGCGUGCGUAGGCGGCUUUGUAAGUUAGAGGUGAAAGCCCGGAGCUCAACUCCGGAAUUGCCUUUAAGACUGCCGAGCUAGUAGGUGAGAGAGGUAAGUGGAAUUCCGAGUGUAGAGGUGAAAUUCGUAGAUAUUCGGAAGAACACCAGUGGCGAAGGCGGCUUACUGGCUCAUUCUAGACGCUGAGGUGCGAAAGCGUGGGGAGCAAACAGGAUUAGAUACCCCAGUAGUCCCUGUCUCUUAUAC
rnacentral:rRNA from 1 species